rnacentral:rRNA from 1 species
UACGUAGGGUGCGAGCGUUGUCCGGAAUUAUUGGGCGUAAAGGGCUCGUAGGCGGUUUGUCGCGUCGGGAGUGAAAACCAGGUGCUUAACACCUGGCUUGCUUUCGAUACGGGCAGACUAGAGGCAUGCAGGGGAGAACGGAAUUCCUGGUGUAGCGGUGAAAUGACGCAGAUAUCAGGAGGAACACCGGUGGCGAAGGCGGAUCUCUGGGCCAUUACUGACGCUGAGGAGCGAAAGCGUGGGGAGCGAACAGG